rnacentral:rRNA from 1 species
UACGAAGGGGGCUAGUGUUGCUCGGAAUCACUGGGCGUAAAGCGCACGUAGGCGGCUUCUUAAGUCAGGGGUGAAUCCUGGAGCUCAACUCCAGAACUGCCUUUGAUACUGAGUAGCUUGAGUCCGGGAGAGGUGAGUGGAACUGCGAGUGUAGAGGUGAAAUUCGUAGAUAUUCGCAAGAACACCAGUGGCGGAAGGCGGCUUCCUGGUCCAGCACCGACGUUCAGGCACGAAAGCGUGGGGAGCAAACAGG